rnacentral:tRNA from 1 species
ACCUUCGUGGUGUAUUGGUCAGCACACUCGGCGCGUAAUCGAGAGAUCCUAGGUUUGAAUCCCGGCGAGGGCA